AGAGGCGCAGCGGGAGGGGGUGCUCUCGGGCGAGCUCUCCGGCCGCGGCCCCCGCCCCUGCGCUGUCGGGCGGGGAGGUCGGAAACCCCCUGGCGAGACCACGGGCGGACGCUUCCCGAAGAGCUGCCUGGGCUGCAGCCGCGGAAGCUGCGUUCUGGGGAGCGGGGAGCGUGCUCCGGCGCCUUCGGGCCGCUGCUGGAAGCCGGAACCGAGCCCGGGCCGCUGCCCCUCACCGGACGCCGCGCGCCACCGGCCCUCCGCGGGGCAGGGGCUGCUGCGAGCUCGCCGGGCGCCCUUUAGACAGUCGUCCUUGUCUACUCCACUACCAAAUGUUGAAGUUCUUCAAGAAUCAGUCCUUUGGAGGCAUUUAAGGAAAUCUGUUUCUCUUUUGGAUCACUAGCUGCAAAUUAAGCUAACAGAACAGGAGCUCAGCUGGUCACACACAGCAACGAAUACAGACUUUAUAAAGUUCAGAAAAGUUACCAAACAGUGGUAACCAUAACAAGUACCAACAAUGAACUAUGGGGAGGGAGGAGAAUCUGAUUUCCAGAGUUACCACAUUAUAAUACUAUUCAAAAUGUCACAUUUUUAGCAAAGAUUACAUGACAAGGAAAAACCAGAAAAGUAUGGCCCAUACACAGGUAAAAAAAGAAAUUAAUAGAAACUACCCCUGAAGAAGCACAGACUUCGGAUGUACAAAACAAAGACUUUUCAUCAACUCUUUUAGAUAUGCUAGAAGAGCUAAAGGAAACCAUGGACAGAGAACAAAAAAAUUAGGAAAGCAAUGUCUCAUCCAAUACAGAAUAUCAAUAAAGAGAUUGAAAUUGUAGAAAAGAACCAAAUAGAAAUUCUGGAGUUGAAAAGUAUUAUAACUAAAACUGAAAAUUCACUAGAGGUAUUCAGCAGCAGACUGGAGAAGUCAGAAGAAAGAAUCAACAGGCUUCAAGAUAGGUCAAUUAAGAUUAUACAGUCUGAGGAGCAGAAAGGAAAAAGAAUGAAGAAAAAUGAACAGAGCAUAAAAGACCUCUGGGACUCUAUCAAGCAUACCAGUAUAUGCAUGAGGGGAGUCCCAGAAGGAGAAGAAAGAGAGAAAGGGACAUAAUAUUUGAAGAAAUAAUGGUAGAAAAUGUCCCAGCUUUGAUGAAAUACAUGAAUCUAGAUAUUCAAGAGGCUCAAAGAACCCUAAAUAGGGUAAACUCAAAAAGACCCACACCGGAAUGCAAAAGUGAGCUGGGUGUGGUGGCACGUGCCUGUGGUCCCAGCUACUCGAGAGGCUAAGGCAGGAAAAUCGCUUGAACCCAGGAGGCAGAGAUUGCGGUGAGCCGGGAUUGCGCCAGUGCACUCCAGCUGGGCGACAGAGCGAGAUUCCAUCUCGAAAAAAAAAAAAAAAAAAAAAAAAAACUAUUGCUGCAGUCAUUCAGAUGGAAAUGGGGAAAGAAUAAUAUUAACUGAUUUCAAAAAGGACUUGAAGAUGUGAAUCAUCUAUUUUGCUGAAGAAAUCUUAACUCUUUGAAAUUACUUUUUGUUGCUGUUGUCAUACUCUUAGGUGCCAAACUGCGGUAAAUUUUUUAUCAGUGAAGUGGAAGCAUGUGUUUUGUUGUUUUGGGAAUUUUUAUCAAGUAUCUUCAGAGAAGAUUAUUUCCUGCUUUAUCUUCAAAAACUGGAAAGGAAGGGUCAAAGAAAAGACAGUAGCUGGCCGGUCAUGGUGGCUCAUGCCUGUAAUCCCAACACUUUGGGAGGCUGAGGUGGGCAGAUCACCUGAGGUUGGGAGUUCGAGGCCAGCCUGACCAACGUGGAGAAAUGCCAUCUCUACUAAAGAUGCAAGGAUUGGCCGGGCGUGGUGGUGCGUGCCUGUGAUCCCAGCUGCUCAGGAGGCUGAGGCAGGAGAAUCGCUUGGACCUGGGAGGUGGAGGUUGCGGUGAGCUGAGAUCACGCCAUUGCACUCCAGCCUGGGCAACAAGCGAAACUCUGUCUCAAAAAAAAAGAAAAGACAGUAGCUUAUGUUCAUGUCAAGCACCUCUCAUCACAGUCUAGUUCCAAGGAAAAAAUUCCCAGCGUUUUCUACAUUCGGUGCUGCGUCAUCUGAAAUCGGCACAUUCCAUGGAGGAAGGAGUCCUGCUUUGUUGCAUGUAUCCUAGGGUUUAAUGUUGGUAAAUGAGUCACUCUAGCAUUUGUAGAAGGCUCCCUGAGACUCCUGCAGCAGUCGACCAAGCCCAAGGACAUAAUUGAAUCUGGAGAGUCCUGGGGCCUUGUUUUGAAAAAGACUUGAAAUACACAUAGGAAGAAAGGCAUAAAAAUAAAUGUUCACUUGUCUCUGCUGUGA
rnacentral:lncRNA from 1 species